UACGAACUGUGCGAACGUUAUUCGGAAUCACUGGGCUUACAGGGUGCGUAGGCGGCUUGUUAAGUAGGGUGUGAAAGCCCCCGGCUCAACCGGGGAAUUGCGCCCUAAACUGGCGAGCUGGAGUGAGAUAGGGGUGUGUGGAACUUCCGGUGGAGCGGUGAAAUGCGUAGAGAUCGGAAAGAACACCAACGGCGAAAGCACUCUGCUGGGCCGACACUGACACUGAGAGACGAAAGCUAGGGGAGCGAAUGGG
rnacentral:rRNA from 1 species